UACGGAGGGUGCGAGCGUUAAUCGGAAUUACUGGGCGUAAAGCGCGCGUAGGUGGUCUGUUAAGUCGGAUGUGAAAGCCCCGGGCUCAACCUGGGAACUGCAUUCGAUACUGGCAGACUAGAGUGCGAGAGAGGGAGGUAGAAUUCCAUGUGUAGCGGUGAAAUGCGUAGAUAUGUGGAGGAAUACCAGUGGCGAAGGCGGCCUCCUGGCUCGACACUGACACUGAGGUGCGAAAGCGU
rnacentral:rRNA from 1 species